rnacentral:rRNA from 1 species
AUUGAACGCUGGCGGCAUGCUUUACACAUGCAAGUCGGACGAGUGGCGAACGGGUGAGUAAUAUAUUGGCACGUACCGAGUAAUGGGGGAUACCCAAUCGACAGAUUGGCUAAUACCGCAUAUUAUUCGUUCGGCCACUAUCUGAUUAGCGAGUUGGGGGGGUACAGGCCUACCAAGGCGACGAUCAGUAGCGGGGCUGAGAGGAUGAUCCGCAACACUGGGACUGAGACACGGCCCAGACUCCUACGGGAGGCAGCAGUGGGGAAUGUUGGACAAUGGGCGCAAGCCUGAUCCAGCCAUGCCGCGUGUCUGAAGAAGGCCUUCGGGUUGUAAAGGACUUUUGUUAGGGAAGCGGUACCUAAAGAAUAAGCACCGGCUAACUACGGGCCAGCAGCCGCGGUAAUUC